rnacentral:misc_RNA from 1 species
GCCUGUUCAUUGGAUGAUCGAAUCUCGCGUUUCGUCAUCUCGCUUUCGGUUCCCUGUGUUGCAUACCUUCGAGACGGUAUCCUGUCGGCUAGAAUCGCCCCGUUUCGCCCGACGUCGCGAGCAACAUCGCGACCGAGGGCGAACCGAAAAACACUCAUCGCGUUCCACCCCGUUCGCGUGACGCGCUGCGGGACACGGCCCGCGAUGACGUGCUCGAAUUCUCGGGUGCGGAACACGAUGCGGGCACGAGGACGUCGAUCCUCCGUUUGCCCCCGAACAAGCGUUCUACGCUCUGUGCGAACGACGUUCUUCCUCGU